AGAGUUUGAUCCUGGCUCAGAUUGAACGCUGGCGGCAGGCCUAACACAUGCAAGUCGAGCGGUAGAGAGAAGCUUGCUUCUCUUGAGAGCGGCGGACGGGUGAGUAAUGCCUAGGAAUCUGCCUAGUGGUGGGGGAUAACGUUCGGAAACGGACGCUAAUACCGCAUACGUCCUACGGGAGAAAGCGGGGGAUCUUCGGACCUCGCGCCAUUAGAUGAGCCUAGGUCGGAUUAGCUAGUUGGUGAGGUAAUGGCUCACCAAGGCGACGAUCCGUAACUGGUCUGAGAGGAUGAUCAGUCACACUGGAACUGAGACACGGUCCAGACUCCUACGGGAGGCAGCAGUGGGGAAUAUUGGACAAUGGGCGAAAGCCUGAUCCAGCCAUGCCGCGUGUGUGAAGAAGGUCUUCGGAUUGUAAAGCACUUUAAGUUGGGAGGAAGGGUAGUAACCUAAUACGUUGCUGCUUUGACGUUACCGACAGAAUAAGCACCGGCUAACUUCGUGCCAGCAGCCGCGGUAAUACGGAGGGAGCUAGCGUUGUUCGGAAUUACUGGGCGUAAAGCGCACGUAGGCGGCUAUUCAAGUCAGAGGUGAAAGCCCGGGGCUCAACCCCGGAACUGCCUUUGAAACUAGAUAGCUUGAAUCCAGGAGAGGUGAGUGGAAUUCCGAGUGUAGAGGUGAAAUUCGUAGAUAUUCGGAAGAACACCAGUGGCGAAGGCGGCUCACUGGACUGGUAUUGACGCUGAGGUGCGAAAGCGUGGGGAGCAAACAGGAUUAGAUACCCUGGUAGUCC
rnacentral:rRNA from 1 species